rnacentral:tRNA from 1 species
ACCUAGGUGGCUCAGCUGGUUGAGCGUAUGACUUCAGCUCAGGUCAUGAUCUCACAGUUUGUGGGUUCGAGCCCCACGUUGGGCU